rnacentral:rRNA from 1 species
GACGAACGCUGGCGGCGUGCUUAACACAUGCAAGUCGAACGGAAAGGCCCUGCUUUUGUGGGGUGCUCGAGUGGCGAACGGGUGAGUAACACGGGAGUAACCUGCCCUUGACUUUGGGAUACCUUCAGGAAACUGGGGCUAAUACCGGAUAGGAGCUCCUGCUGCAUGGUGGGGGUUGGAAAGUUUCGGCGGUUGGGGAGGGACUCGCGGCUUAUCAGCUUGUUGGUGGGGUAGUGGCUUACCAAGGCUUUGACGGGUAGCCGGCCUGGGAGGGUGACCGGCCACAUUGGGACUGAGAUACGGCCCAGCCUCCUACGGGAGGCAGCGGUGGGGAAUAUUGCACAAUGGGCGGAAGCCUGAUGCAGCAACGCCGCGUGCGGGAUGACGGCCUUCGGAUUGUAAACCGCUUUCGCCUGUGACGAACCGUGAGUGACGGUAAUGGGUAAAGAAGCACCGGCUAACUACGUG